rnacentral:rRNA from 1 species
AUUGAACGCUGGCGGCAGGCUUAACACAUGCAAGUCGAGCGGGGUGAUGGUGCUUGCACUAUCACUUAGCGGCGGACGGGUGAGUAAUGCUUAGGAAUCUGCCUAUUAGUGGGGGACAACAUCUCGAAAGGGAUGCUAAUACCGCAUACGUCCUACGGGAGAAAGCAGGGGAUUACUUGUGACCUUGCGCUAAUAGAUGAGCCUAAGUCGGAUUAGCUAGUUGGUGGGGUAAAGGCCUACAAAGGCGACGAUCUGUAGCGGGUCAGAGAGGAUGAUCCCCCACACUGGGACUGAGACACGGCCCAGACUCCUACGGGAGGCAGCAGUGGGGAAUAUUGGACAAUGGGGGGAACCCUGAUCCAGCCAUGCCGCGUGUGUGAAGAAGGCCUUAUGGUUGUAAAGCACUUUAAGCGAGGAGGAGGCUCUUUUGGUUAAUACCCAAGAUGAGUGGACGUUACUCGCAGAAUAAGCACCGGCUAACUCUGUGCCAGCAGCCGCCGUAA